AGGCAGCAGUGGGGAAUAUUGGGCAAUGGGCGCAAGCCUGACCCAGCAAUGCCGCGUGAAGGAAGAAGGCCCUCGGGUUGUAAACUUCUUUUAUCAGGGACGAAGGAUGUGACGGUACCUGAUGAAUAAGCUCCGGCUAACUACGUGCC
rnacentral:rRNA from 1 species